CAUGCAUGUCUAAGUAUAAGCAAUUAUACCGCGAAACUGCGAAUGGCUCAUUAUAUAAGUUAUCGUUUAUUUGAUAAUACUUUACUACUUGGAUAACCGUGGUAAUUCUAGAGCUAAUACAUGCUGAAAAUCCCGACUUCGGAAGGGAUGUAUUUAUUAGAUUAAAAACCAAUGCCCCUCGGGGCUCUCUGGUGAAUCAUGAUAACUAGUCGAAUCGACAGGCCUUGUGCCGGCGAUGGCUCAUUCAAAUUUCUUCCCUAUCAACUUUCGAUGUUUGGGUAUUGGCCAAACAUGGUGGCAACGGGUAACGGAGGGUUAGGGCUCGACCCCGGAGAAGGAGCCUGAGAAACGGCUACUACAUCCAAGGAAGGCAGCAGGCGCGCAAAUUACCCAAUCCCGACACGGGGAGGUAGUGACAAUAAAUACUGAUACAGGGCUCUUUUGGGUCUUGUAAUCGGAAUGAGUACAAUUUAAAUCCCUUAACGAGGAACAAUUGGAGGGCAAGUCUGGUGCCAGCAGCCGCGGUAAUUCCAGCUCCAAUAGCGUAUAUUAAAGUUGUUGUCGUUAAAAAGCUCGUAGUUGAACCUUGGGCCUGGCUGGCCGGUCCGCCUCACCGCGUGCACUGGUCCGGCCGGGCCUUUCCCUCUGCGGAACCCCAUGCCCUUCACUGGGUGUCGCGGGGAAACAGGACUUUUACUUUGAAAAAAUUAGAGUGCUCAAGGCAGGCCUAUGCUCGAAUACAUUAGCAUGGAAUAAUAGGACGUGUGGUUCUAUUUUGUUGGUUUCUAGGACCGCCGUAAUGAUUAAUAGGGACAGUCGGGGGCAUCAGUAUUCAAUUGUCAGAGGUGAAAUUCUUGGAUUUAUUGAAGACUAACUACUGCGAAAGCAUUUGCCAAGGAUGUUUUCAUUAAUCAGGGAACGAAAGUUAGGGGAUCGAAGACGAUCAGAUACCGUCGUAGUCUUAACCAUAAACUAUGCCGACUAGGGAUCGGACGAUGUUACAUUUUUGACGCGUUCGGCACCUUACGAGAAAUCAAAGUGCUUGGGCUC
rnacentral:rRNA from 1 species